rnacentral:rRNA from 1 species
UUGGUGCCUUCGGGAACAUUGAGACAGGUGCUGCAUGGCUGUCGUCAGCUCGUGUCGUGGGAUGUUGGGUUAAGUCCCGUAACGAGCGCAACCCUUGUCCUUAGUUACCAGCACGUCAUGGUGGGCACUCUAAGGAGACUGCCGGUGACAAACCGGAGGAAGGUGGGGAUGACGUCAAGUCAUCAUGGCCCUUACGGCCUGGGCUACACACGUGCUACAAUGGUCGGUACAGAGGGUUGCCAAGCCGCGAGGUGGAGCUAAUCCCACAAAACCGAUCGUAGUCCGGAUCGCAGUCUGCAACUCGACUGCGUGAAGUCGGAAUCGCUAGUAAUCGCGAAUCAGAAUGUCGCGGUGAAUACGUUCCCGGGCCUUGUACACACCGCCCGUCACACCAUGGGAGUGGGUUGCACCAGAAGUAGCUAGUCUAACCUUCGG